rnacentral:rRNA from 1 species
GAGUAACACGUAGGUAACCUGCCUUGAAGAUUGGGAUAACUCCGGGAAACCGGAGCUAAUACCGAAUAAUGCAGCGAAUCCAUAGGGAUAUGUUGUUAAAGCGGGCUUCGGCUCGCACUUCGAGAUGGGCCUGCGGCCGAUUAGCUUGUUGGUGAGGUAAUGGCUCACCAAGGCGAUGAUCGGUAGCUGGUCUGAGAGGAUGAUCAGCCACACUGGGAUUGAGAUACGGCCCAGACUCCUACGGGAGGCAGCAGUGGGGAAUUUUGCGCAAUGGACGAAAGUCUGACGCAGCAACGCCGCGUGAUUGAUGAAGCUUUUAGGAGUGUAAAGAUCUGUCGUGAGGGAAGAAAAACCUGGAUGUAAAUAAUGUUCAGGCGUGACGGUACCUCACAAGAAAGCACCGGCUAACUUCGUGCCAGCAGCCGCGGUAAUACGAGGGGUGCUAGCGUUGUCCGGAAUUACUGGGCGUAAAGGGUCCGUAGGCGUCUUGACAAGUUGAUUGUUAAAUCCACCGGCUCAACCGGUGAGCUGCGGUCAAAACUUGCAGGAUAGAAUAUGUGAGAGGAAAGUAGAAUUCCUGGUGUAGCGGUGACAUGCGUAGAUAUCAGGAGGAACACCAAUGGCGAAGGCAGCUUUCUGGCACAAUAUUGACGCUGAGGGACGAAAGCGUGGGGAGCGAACAGGAUUAGAUACCCUGGUAGUCCACGCCGUAAACGAUGAGUACUUGGUGGUGGGAGAUUCGACCCUCUCACUAUCGGAGCUAACGCGUU